rnacentral:rRNA from 1 species
GAUGAACGCUGGCGGCGUGCCUAAUACAUGCAAGUCGAGCGAACGGACGAGAAGCUUGCUUCUCUGAUGUUAGCGGCGGACGGGUGAGUAACACGUGGAUAACCUACCUAUAAGACUGGGAUAACUUCGGGAAACCGGAACUAAUACCGGAUGAUAUUUUGAAUCGCAUGGUUUAAAAGUGAAAGACGGUCUUGCUGUAACUUAUAGAUGGAUCCGCGCUGCUUUAGCUAGUUGGUAAGGUAACGGCUUACCAAGGCAACGAUGCAUAGCCGACCUGAGAGGGUGAUCGGCCACACUGGAACUGGAACACGGUCCAGACUCCUACGGGAGGCAGCAGUAGGGAAUCUUCCGCAAGGGGCGAAAGCCUGACGGAGCAACGCCGCGUGAGUGAUGAGGGUCUUCGGAUCGUAAAACUCUGUUAUUAGGGAAGAACAUAUGUGUAAGUAACUGUGCACAUCUUGACGGUACCUAAUCAGAAAGCCACGGCUAACUACGUG